UUGUCUCAAAGAUUAAGCCAUGCAUGUCUCAGUACAAGCCGCACUAAGGUGAAACCGCGAAAGGCUCAUUAAAUCAGUUAUGGUUCCUUAGAUCGUACCCACAUUUACUUGGAUAACUGUGGUAAUUCUAGAGCUAAUACAUGCAAACAGAGCUCCGACCGGAGACGGGAGGAGUGCUUUUAUUAGAUCAAAACCAAUCGGCGGCGGUGGCCGUUCGCGUCGCCGUUCGCCGCUCAACCUGGUGACUCUGAAUAACUUUACGCUGAUCGCACGGUCUCGCACCGGCGACGCAUCUUUCAAAUGUCUGCCUUAUCAACUGUCGAUGGUAGGUUCUGCGCCUACCAUGGUCGUAACGGGUAACGGGGAAUCAGGGUUCGAUUCCGGAGAGGGAGCCUGAGAAACGGCUACCACAUCCAAGGAAGGCAGCAGGCGCGCAAAUUACCCACUCCCGGCACGGGGAGGUAGUGACGAAAAAUAACGAUACGGGACUCAUCCGAGGCCCCGUAAUCGGAAUGAGUACACUUUAAAUCCUUUAACGAGGACCAAUUGGAGGGCAAGUCUGGUGCCAGCAGCCGCGGUAACUCCAGCUCCAAUAGCGUA
rnacentral:rRNA from 1 species